rnacentral:rRNA from 1 species
CAAUAGCGUAUAUUAAAGUUGUUGCAGUUAAAAAGCUCGUAGUUGAAUUUCUGGAGGGCACGUUGGGACCGCUUGAUUGCGCGUCCUUGACGAACUCUCCAUCCUUGCAGGGGGCGCGUCGGCCUUCAUUGGUUCGGCGUGUCGGCCUGCAUCCUUUACUGUGAAAAAAUUAGAGUGUUUAAAGCAGGCGAUCGCUUGAAUACAUUAGCAUGGAAUAAUAAGAUAGGACUUUGGUCUAUUUUGUUGGUUGCGGCCCAAGGUAAUGAUUAAUAGGGAUGAUUGGGGACAUUCAUAUUGAGGUGGAAGAGGUGAAAUUCUUGGAUUUCCUCAAGAUGAACUGCUGCGAAANCGNNNGUCUAGGGCGUUUUCAUNAA